AACGUAGGUGGCGAGCGUUAUCCGGAUUUACUGGGCGUAAAGGGUGUGCAGGCGGGUGGAAAAGUGGGGUAUGAAAGGUUUCGGCUCAACCGAGAUAGGUUAUGCCAGACUGUUUACCUAGAGUGUGAGAGAGGGACGUGGAAUUCCGGGUGUAGUGGUGAAAUGCGUAGAGAUCCGGAAGAACACCGGUGGCGAAGGCGGUUAGCUGGGCAGUUGCUGACACUGAGGCGCGACAGCGUGGGGAGCAAACAGG
rnacentral:rRNA from 1 species